ACCCUGACUUACACUUACGCAAAUUAAACCCUAUCAAAUAAAACCUCCCCAGCCGUCCCUAAUCGCAGCCGUACUCGGAGUCGCAGCCGCAGCCGCCCGUCGCCGGUCGUUGUCCGUCGCCCAGCCUCGCGCGUCCGUCGCUCAGCCGUAGCCGCCGUCGUGCAGCCGCAGCCCUCGUCGCUCCGGCCGUCUCUCACUGUCUCCGUCACGCUCUCCGGCCAACUGUGUUCAUCCCUCUGCACCUCUCAAGAGUCCAGUGUUCAUUCUUCAUCCUUCAUCACAAAUGAGUAUGGUGAUCUACUAGUAAGUUGUGGCUUGAUUGGAGAAGUUGUCAAAGUAUAUGAAGAUCUUGAGCUUUGGGAUUUCUUGGCGGCAAGUAUUAUAAGUCUCUACAAGUUAUGGAGUAGUGGGGAGAGGGAGAGGAAGAGAGAGAGGAAGUGGAAGAGGGACAAACUUGUCUCAGGAAAGCUUUGUUGGAAUGUCAGCUUGCAUAGAGUGAAGCUCAAUGGAACCAUGAAGGCAGAUGAAGAUUGAUGGAGCCACUUCUUUUUUAUUUUUGUGUUUUUUGUUGUUAACUAGCUAGUGUUUAUAGCUAUUGCGUAUGUAUGAUUUUGUCUUUUGACUAACUAGUGGAUUAUGAAUUGGCAGUUUCUU